rnacentral:rRNA from 1 species
CGAAAGGACGAACCUCUGGUGCUCCGGUUGUCUUACUAAGGGCAUAGCCGGGUAGCUAAGUUCGGAAAGGAUAAACGCUGAAAGCAUCUAAGCGUGAAGCCCCCUCCAAGACCAGAAAUCCCCAUUCAGGCCCGUUGAAGACCACGACGUUGAUAGGCCAGGUGUGUAAGUACAGCAAUGUAUUUAGCUGACUGGUACUAAUCGGCCGAUCGGCUUGACCAC